rnacentral:rRNA from 1 species
AUAGGUGUAGGCGCAGCGAAAGCGAGUCUUAAAAGGGCGCAUGAGUUCGUUGGAUCAGACCCGAAACCAGAUGAUCUAGCCAUGAGCAGGAUGAAGGUUGGGUAACACCAACUGGAGGUCCGAACCAACACCCGUUGAAAAGGGUCUGGAUGACUUGUGGCUAGGGGUGAAAAGGCCCAAUCAAAUCUGGAGAUAGCUGGUUCUCCGCGAAAGCUAUUUAGGUAGCGCCUCGGACGAAUACCUACGGGGGUAGAGCACUGCCUGGGCAAUGGGGUCCCACAGACUUACUGAGCCUAUGCAAACUCCGAAUACCGUAGAGUACUAUCCGGGAGACACACGGCGGGUGCUAACGUCCGUCGUGAAGAGGGAAACAACCCUGACCUGCAGCUAAGGCCCCUAAUUCGUGGCUAAGUGGGAAAGCAUGUGGGACGGCCAAAACAACCAGGAGGUUGGCUUAGAAGCAGCCAUCCUUUAAAGAUAGCGUAACAGCUCACUGGUCUAGAUAAGCUGUCCUGCGGCGAAGAUGUAACGGGGC